GUCAACCCCUACCAAGGAGGCACUGAGUUUUCCCAAGCACACAUAUUACUUCCCUUUUUUAGACAAAGACAGAAUGGCAGUUUCCUUCUACCCAUUUCUGAUCUUUUCAUCCUCUUUGUUCUUACUCCAAAAUGGAUGUUUAUUCUGAAUUAGAUGCCUAUUACUGAACCCUAGAGGUACUGAAGGAAUACCUGAGAUGCAGAUGAAGUCAUGACAACAAUUGUGACAUCACAGAAGAAAAAUCUCUCCAGGUUACAAGAGAUUUUUCAGGCAAGGCCUAAUGAUGAUAUCACUGAGAACUGCCAUGGCCUACCUGCUGAACAGCUUUCCUUACAUUGACCAUAUUUGAGGGUGUCCUUUCCUGGAACCACUAGAAGCAGGGAAGUCCAGAUGCUUCUGACAGGCUCCGAGCUCCGAGCUCCUGAUCCCAUGUGUGGAAGGCUCAGAUCAAUUCUAUCUCUUCAAGACAGGAGGGUAGCAUUAUUGUCCUCUGCAAGACUCAACGGAGCAUCCGACUAACACACGUGCACAGACAUACGGCCAAAUAUUGAAUGGAGCUCAGUGAGUCUCAAUGAAAGGCUGAGGGAAGGGCAGACAGAGACAGAGGAGCACAAUGAUCUUCAGCUUACUUUUGGUCACAAUGUUUAUCACGACAUUGGAAGCCUAAUCACAACACCUGGAAAGAGUGUCUCAGUGAGUGACUGAAUACAUUGGGUUGGCAACUCUCCUACACUUUUCCCAGAAAAGCAGAGUAGAGACAAGCUGGCCAACUGGUAGACCUUCAUCCUAAGCCAGGCUCCUGCAGAGAAGAACCUUUGACUCUACUGUAAUCCUUCAACUGGAAGUGUUCACUGGAAACUGGCAAGAACUGCUUUAAAAAUAAAAGAUAGUUAAGGGAUUGGAGAGAUUCUUCAGUGGUUAAUGGCACUAGUUGCUUUUCCAGCAGACCCAAGAUCAAUUCCAAGCAUCCACAUGGCAGUUCUCAACCAUAUUUAACUCCAGUUCCAGGGGACUCAAUGACUUCUUCUGGCCUCAGCAGGCUCCAGGUAUGUUCAUGGUGUAAAACAUACAUGCAGAUGAAACACCCAUACACAUAAAAUAAGAAUAAAUUUUAAGAGAGAGAGAGAGAGAGAGAGAGAGAGAGAGAGAGAGAGAGAGAGAGGUGAAGGCCAGGAAUAUAUACCAGUGGGUAAAGUGCUUGCCUUGCAAGCAGGAAGACAUGAGUUUGAUCACCAGAACAAAUGUAAAAAUCCAAGCAUAUGCUGAGGGAAUAGCUCAGUUGGUGACAUUCUUGCCACACAACCAUGACGGCCUGACUUUCGUAAUCAGAAUCCACAUGAAAAGCUUGCCACAGUGGCAGGUACUUGUAAUCCCAGCUCUGGAGAGGCAGAGAUGGGCAGGUCUCUGAGACUCUCACUGGUCAGCCAGCAUAACCCUUGAUGAGAUCCAGGCCAAUGAAAGACCUUUUCUCAGAAAACAGUAAGAUAAUGACUAAGAAAUGGCACCCAAACAUGUUCAAUGGCCUCCACAUACUACAUAUAUACACAUACACACAUGAACAUAUGCAUGCAAACCUAUGCAAACACAUAUACGUAUACAAAAGAUAGGUGAAUAGAUGGAUAUCCAUGGUGGAUAGACAGACAAGCAGACAAACAAAGAAGACCCAAAGGACAGAGAUUUAGCUUCAAAAGGCCCAGACAUCUCAAUCGCAGCCCAAGUUCAACCUGUGAGAUGGUAAGAUAUCUUUAAGGUCUUCUUCCCCAACUUCCUGGCAAAGUGGCCAAUGUGGUUAACAUGAGCCAAACAUUAACAGUGUGUUUCUAAGGCUGCCCAUCACAAAUAUAAUUGGCCCUAAGACAUGCCAUAGCCUAAACAUACCAUUCUCCAAGAAGCUUCAGAAAGUGCAGGUGAGAAGGCAGAGGAAUAUAGCUGGGCAUGGAUAUCUCACUCAAUAAAUAUACUAGACCCAAUGUCAGGUAUAAUUACGGUGUGGCAGCUGCCUAUGCUAUGGGCUUCCCACUGCGUCUGCCCAAAGCAGCUGUCUACAAUGAUCUCUGCAAGCAAAGUGCCAAGCAAGAAGAGAAAUGGCUUCUGCUCCAUGUCAAAGGCAGCAGACACAGGGGAACAUGUGAUGAAUUCAUGUCACACAGGUGUACCCCUGGGGUUCCUUCCCCCCCCCAUUUGUUAUGUUACCAUUGCUUUUGGUAAUAAAUAAAUACAUGUGUGUCUGUCCCUGCCUAAAUCUGAAACAAUAAAUGUGGUUAUAAAAAUCAC